rnacentral:rRNA from 1 species
CCUACGGGUGACUGCAGUAGGGAAUCUUCCACAAUGGGCGAAAGCCUGAUGGAGCAACGCCGCGUGGGUGAAGAAGGUCUUCGGAUCGUAAAACCCUGUUGUUAGAGAAGAAAGUGCGUGAGAGUAACUGUUCACGUUUCGACGGUAUCUAACCAGAAAGCCACGGCUAACUACGUGCCAGCAGCCGCGGUAAUACGUAGGUGGCAAGCGUUAUCCGGAUUUAUUGGACGUAAAGGGAACGCAGGCGGUCUUUUAAGUCUGAUGUGAAAGCCUUCGGGUUAACCGGAGUAGUGCAUUGGAAACUGGGAGACGUGAGUGCAGAAGAGGAGAGUGGAACGCCAUGUGUAGCGGUGAAAUGCGUAGAUAUAUGGAAGAACACCAGUGGCGAAAGCGGCUCUCUGGUCUGUAACUGACGCUGAGGUUCGAAAGCGUGGGUAGCAAAUAGGAUUAGAUACCCUGGUAGUC